AGAGUUUGAUCCUGGCUCAGGACGAACGCUGGCGGCACGCUUAACACAUGCAAGUCGAACGAGAGAAGAGGAGCUUGCUUUUCUGAUCUAGUGGCGGACGGGUGAGUAACACGUGAGCAAUCUGCCUUUCAGAGGGGGAUACCGAUUGGAAACGAUCGUUAAUACCGCAUAAUAUAAUUGAACCGCAUGAUUUGAUUAUCAAAGAUUUAUCGCUGAAAGAUGAGCUCGCGUCUGAUUAGCUAGUUGGUAAGGUAACGGCUUACCAAGGCGACGAUCAGUAGCCGGACUGAGAGGUUGAUCGGCCACAUUGGGACUGAGACACGGCCCAGACUCCUACGGGAGGCAGCAGUGGGGAAUAUUGCACAAUGGAGGAAACUCUGAUGCAGCGAUGCCGCGUGAGGGAAGAAGGUUUUAGGAUUGUAAACCUCUGUCUUCAGGGACGAAAAAAGACGGUACCUGAGGAGGAAGCUCCGGCUAACUACGUGCCAGCAGCCGCGGUAAUACGUAGGGAGCGAGCGUUGUCCGGAAUUACUGGGUGUAAAGGGAGCGUAGGCGGGAUCGCAAGUCAGAUGUGAAAACUAUGGGCUUAACCCAUAAACUGCAUUUGAAACUGUGGUUCUUGAGUGAAGUAGAGGUAAGCGGAAUUCCUAGUGUAGCGGUGAAAUGCGUAGAUAUUAGGAGGAACAUCAGUGGCGAAGGCGGCUUACUGGGCUUUAACUGACGCUGAGGCUCGAAAGCGUGGGGAGCAAACAGGAUUAGAUACCCUGGUAGUCCACGCCGUAAACGAUGAUUACUAGGUGUGGGGGGACUGACCCCUUCCGUGCCGCAGCAAACGCAAUAAGUAAUCCACCUGGGGAGUACGACCGCAAGGUUGAAACUCAAAGGAAUUGACGGGGGCCCGCACAAGCAGUGGAGUAU
rnacentral:rRNA from 1 species